UACGAAGGGGGCAAGCGUUGUUCGGAAUUACUGGGCGUAAAGGGCGCGUAGGCGGCUUAUCAAGUCAGGCGUGAAAUUCCCGGGCUCAACCUGGGGGCUGCGCUUGAUACUGAUUGGCUUGAAUGCGGGAGAGGAUAGUGGAAUUCCCAGUGUAGAGGUGAAAUGCGUAGAUAUCGGGGAGGAACACCAGUGGCGAAGGCGGCUUCCUGGCCUGUUCUUGACGCUGAGGUACGGGAAGCGUAGGGAGCAAACGGG
rnacentral:rRNA from 1 species